UACGAAGGGGGCUAGCGUUGCUCGGAAUCACUGGGCGUAAAGGGUGCGUAGGCGGGUCUUUUAAGUCAGGGGUGAAAUCCUGGAGCUCAACUCCAGAACUGCCUUUGAUACUGAAGAUCUUGAGUUCGGGAGAGGUGAGUGGAACUGCGAGUGUAGAGGUGAAAUUCGUAGAUAUUCGCAAGAACACCAGUGGCGAAGGCGGCUCACUGGCCCGAUACUGACGCUGAUGCACGAAGGCGUGGGGAGCAAACAGG
rnacentral:rRNA from 1 species